AUUGAACGCUGGCGGCAGGCCUAACUCAUGCAAGUCGAGCGGAUGAAGGGAGCUUGCUCCUGGAUUCAGCGGCGGACGGGUGAGUAAUGCCUAGGAAUCUGCCUGGUAGUGGGGGAUAACGUCCGGAAACGGGCGCUAAUACCGCAUACGUCCUGAGGGAGAAAGUGGGGGAUCUUCGGACCUCACGCUAUCAGAUGAGCCUAGGUCGGAUUAGCUAGUUGGUGGGGUAAAGGCCUACCAAGGCGACGAUCCGUAACUGGUCUGAGAGGAUGAUCAGUCACACUGGAACUGAGACACGGUCCAGACUCCUACGGGAGGCAGCAGUGGGGAAUAUUGGACAAUGGGCGAAAGCCUGAUCCAGCCAUGCCGCGUGUGUGAAGAAGGUCUUCGGAUUGUAAAGCACUUUAAGUUGGGAGGAAGGGCAGUAAGUUAAUACCUUGCUGUUUUGACGUUACCAACAGAAUAAGCACCGGCUAACUUUGUG
rnacentral:rRNA from 1 species